CUGCAACCUAGAAUCAUCUGGAUACUUUUUCAUAUACAUGUCUGACAAAACCAGAUUGGGAGGAUUCAAAGACCAGGCUCAGGCCACUGUCUAGACCACAGGAAACCUGGUCAACAACAUAUGGGAUGUCACCAGAUUCAGACUCAGAAGUUUCCAUAAUGCCGUUGCCAACAGCUAGACACAAGAGAGUACUCUAUCUGUGUUCUUGAGUGGAGAUGAUGAAGAUUAGAACUAUACCUGAGUUGUGAUGAACAUGGAAAGUGAUUUGGAGAGUUGCACUUUUCUUGAAACCUGAGCCUGAGAAUUUGCUUAUGGAUUGUAUAUGAUGCCAGGAAAUGGAAUAGAGGACUGGGAAGAGUGAGAGAAGGAAGAGAAGCCAGGAGGAGAGUAUGUUACGAGCUGUGAAUAAUUGGGACUUGAUUCCACUGAGCUCCUUUGAAGUAUCUGAGAAUUUGACUGCAGAAUUGUGAACCUGAAAAUCACAGAAAAGAGAAUAUUUAUCUAUUGAACCUUCUCUUCAUCUUGCAUUGGUCAAGAGUUGUCCUACGGGAUAUUAAGACACUUGCACUUUCAAGUUUGCAGAAGUAUGGGAACGAAAGCAUCCAAAAAGCCCUGAGGCAGGAAGCAAGCUGAGACAAGGUGUUGGUGAUGAUGGUACACCUGGAUGAAGCUAACUUCAGCAGCAAUAGUUGCUGAAUGAAUUUUUCAUUUCAUCUAAGUUGCCACAUUCAUCAGCAUAAAAUUGUUAAUGAUAUUCUUUUAGAACUUGGAGGGUGGUAGGAGAGAGAGGAGCAGAAAAAAAUAACUAUUGGAUAUGAGCCUUAAUACCUGGGUUUUGACAUAAUCUGUACAACAAACCUCCAUGAAACAAGUUUACCUAUAUAACAAA
rnacentral:lncRNA from 1 species